UUUCUACAGUAUUUCGCCUUUACAUGUUCGGCAGUGGCACUCUGCUGUUCUCAACGGGACUGAUCAUCCUCAAGUGCAGCAGACCGACGGAGACGAGACGACGGAGUGUGUUGAAGCGGCCUAUAUGAACAACUACAAUCCCCGGUUCAGGUGGCGACUGGCGCGCUAACGGAGCUCCAGGAGGGAAAACCUUUGCGACGCUGAGGUUUGGCUGAUUUGCAAAGAUAUCAUAUGAAAUGCAAAUAUUGUGAUUUCGUCAGCUCAAGUCAUGAGUGU